ACCUGCUGCUGAUUGGAGGAGAGCUGUGCCACUCAUUGAUGCCAGGUGGUAACCUGCAUGUGACCCACGUGCUGGUGAGCAGGAGUUGGUGUCUGUUCGGAGAGAGGCACAGCCUUUACCCAGAGACGGCUAUUAACCAGAGGAUUGCAGGUUUGAUUCUCAGUGAAAUUCACACACUAUGAAACUUCCUUCAUAAUCCCAUAGUAAUGCUGCUGAAAUCACUCACGUGAGAUAUAUUUAUGGACAAAGUAUCAACAGCACAUGACAACGAGGCUGUUUCCAGAGGGAUUAUGAUUGGCAUCAUGACUGAGGUCGAAAGGUCAGAGACCUGAUGACACCGCUAUGCUGGUCAUCCUGAGGCCUCUGUUCCCUCAGGUUAUGAUACGUGUUGCUGCAGCACACAUAUUCUACCAGUGGCAGUUACCAUGUACCCUGUGUUUCUGCAGCCUGGAUAUUCUACUCUUAGUGUUUCAGACAAAUGCAAUGGAAUAAUG